UACGGAGGGUGCAAGCGUUGUUCGGAAUCACUGGGCGUAAAGGGCGUGUAGGCGGUCCGCUAAGUCUGAUGUGAAAGCCCGGGGCUCACCCCCGGAAGGGCAUUGGAAACUGGCGGACUCGAGUCCCGGAGAGGAAGGUGGAAUUCCUGGUGUAGCGGUGAAAUGCGUAGAUAUCAGGAGGAACACCUAUUGCGAAGGCAGCUCGCUGGGACGUAACUGACGCUGAGACGCGAAAGCGUGGGGAGCAAACAGG
rnacentral:rRNA from 1 species